rnacentral:tRNA from 1 species
UACUAUAAACAUAAUUUCUGCUCGAUUUACCGAGUCCUGCGGCCUGAAAAACCACCGUUGUUAAUCAACUACAAAAAC